AGAGUUUGAUUAUGGCUCAGGAUGAACGCUAGCUACAGGCUUAACACAUGCAAGUCGAGGGGCAGCAUGACGAUAGCUUGCUAUUGUUGAUGGCGACCGGCGCACGGGUGAGUAACGCGUAUCCAACCUGCCCUUGUCCAUCGGAUAACCCGUCGAAAGGCGGCCUAACACGAUAUGCAGUUCUCAGCAGGCAUCUAACGAGAACGAAAUGUAAAGGAGAAGGAUGGGGAUGCGUCUGAUUAGCUUGUUGGCGGGGUAACGGCCCACCAAGGCGACGAUCAGUAGGGGUUCUGAGAGGAAGGUCCCCCACAUUGGAACUGAGACACGGUCCAA
rnacentral:rRNA from 1 species